UUAACUCAGAAUUACUCCGAUUUCAAUGUUCCUUACUUGAAAGGAGCCAUAAUUUCACAAAAUGCACUGAUCCUUUUGAGUUCUUUAGUCUUCCGAGUGCCGAUCUCCAGCGAAGUGGAGGAUAAUUUUUAACGCACUCCGAGUUCAUUUAAAUUCUCACAAAGUUCGUUCAGCUCGCUCCAUUCUACUGGCGCCGUAGUAAG